GAUGAACGCUGGCGGCGUGCCUAAUACAUGCAAGUCGAACGCACAGCGAAAGGUGCUUGCACCUUUCAAGUGAGUGGCGAACGGGUGAGUAACACGUGGACAACCUGCCUCAAGGCUGGGGAUAACAUUUGGAAACAGAUGCUAAUACCGAAUAAAACUCAGUGUCGCAUGACACAAAGUUAAAAGGCGCUUUGGCGUCACCUAGAGAUGGAUCCGCGGUGCAUUAGUUAGUUGGUGGGGUAAAGGCCUACCAAGACAAUGAUGCAUAGCCGGGUUGAGAGACUGAUCGGCCACAUUGGGACUGAGACACGGCCCAAACUCCUACGGGAGGCUGCAGUAGGGAAUCUUCCACAAUGGGCGAAAGCCUGAUGGAGCAACGCCGCGUGUGUGAUGAAGGCUUUCGGGUCGUAAAGCACUGUUGUAUGGGAAGAACAGCUAGAAUAGGGAAUGAUUUUAGUUUGAUGGUACCAUACCAGAAAGGGACGGCUAAAUACGUGCCAGCCGCCGCGGUAA
rnacentral:rRNA from 1 species